AGGACUCUGUCCAAUUCUGUCUCUAAACUCAAUAUGUGCAGUGGUGCCAUUAAGGCUUCGUUUGGGAUUGCGGGGAGUUGCGUUACGUUUAGAAAAAUACUAUAUUUGUUUCUGUACGUAAUAUUGUGUUCAGUAUAUCGCGAUGAGUCGAUAUAUUUUGAAUGCAGAAGCAUAUCCCUAUAUGCUUUUUACUAAACUCUAUUUUAUCUAAUAGCGUUAGAUAAGUCUCAAUACCAAACUAAGCCUAUAAGUGACCUGCGAUAAAUUUGUUAGUAAUGAGGGAUUAACAUGCAAUUGCUUUU
rnacentral:lncRNA from 1 species